GUCUGCCGCCAGCGAGCGCCAGGUGCGGAGCGGGCGUUAGAAGUUGCUGGCAGUCAGAGGCAGGGGAGCUGUCACUCGCGGCGAGCCGGGCGGCGGCCAGGGCGCAAAGUUGAGAGCAGUCUCUAGUCUGAGCCUUUCAGUCGCCUUCCAGUAUCAUCAGUACCACGGGCUCCACCUUGCUGCGGCCCCUCAGCAACCCAGUGCACCUGCCACUCGACCAGAGGGAAAGCAGUCAGGAGUGGGAGGCCUCUGAACAAGCUGUAUUUUGUGUAGCCGCCAGCUUCCAUCUUUCUCCAGGCAGAACGCUGGCCCUCAGCACAUCUUUCUGCUUCCCCUCGGUCAGACCACCGAGAACUGCCGCUGUCCUGUCUGACUCCUCCUGUUUUGGUACUAGACCCCAGAUGAGGAUCUCAGGAAGAUCCACAAAGCUGCGUCCAGGGGAACGAACGUGUGGAAGCUGCAGCGGAGCCUCCUGCUCAAGAGUAAAGGACCGGUCUGAAACCUACAAGAACAGAUUCUCACAGUAGACGAGGAGCCUGUUUUUCAGCUAGCUGCUGCAAGGAGCUGGACAUUUCUCCCUUCAAAUAGGACCUGGAAGGCCUGGAAGCAUCUGGAGAAGGGCAUGGCUAAGAGCUAUGUGAUCGGAUCCCCGGUUUGGCAGAGUAGACAUGCGAGAAGACUGAACGUUUCAUCGUUGAAACCUCUUAAAGGUGGAAUGUGUGGCAGAAAGAACGUCUGAGAAGCUCACGCGAUUUGCAGAAGGAACAUUUGUAGAAGAUUCCCUGUUUUCCGAAGGAAUGUCAAGUUCCAAAGGACACAUAUUGCUUGUCUCUGAACUUCUCAGCUGCCUGCAGAUCUUCCUGUUUUUCAGCUGCAGUUAGGGUUUGUCUGAGGAGAAGCAUAACAUCCCUCCAGGCCAAAUGCUCCACAAAUAAAUGUGUUGAAUGAAUGAACAAAUGAAUAAGCGAAGUGAAUGGAACAUCAAACUGCAUAAAAAUAUAUUUAUUCAUAAAUGAGAGGUGAUGAUUGCCAACAUAUCAUAAUCAGACUCUGACCUUGGUUACUUAUGAGUUUGACAACGAAGAGGAAAGAGGAUCAGGGUCGGCUUUGUUGCCCACUUGGAGUGUAGUGGCACAACCUUGGCUCACUGCAACCUUCUCCUGAAGUACAUAUUAGCUCACCUGGGCUCAAGUGAUCCUCCCACCUCAGUCUUUUGAGUAUCUGGGAUUAUUGGCAUGUGCCACCAAGCCUUGCUAAUUUUUGUAUUUUUUGUAGACACAGGAUUUUGCCACGUUGGCCAGAUUUGUCUUGAACUCCUAAGCUCCAGUGAUCCACCCACCUUGGCCUCCCAAAGUGCUAGGAUUACACGUGUCACCAUCGUGGCCAACCAGCAAGCUCUCUUUUAAUGAUUCAGAGUCUCAGGCCAUAGCAGUAUAAGUAUCAAAACAUCUAUUCCCAACUUGGAGUUGAGAUUUCUAAUACGAAUUCUAUUUUCUCCAUAAUCAUAAAAUAGCAUCAGGAAAAGUCUCUUGACAUCUUAAAAUACAUAUCACUGGAAAGUAGAUCUUUUUGUCCUUCAGAUAAACAUACUGUAAAAUUUGAAAUGAAAAUUAUUCUUUGUACCACCAUUCUGAUUUUACCCAGGGUUAACACAAAAGUUAUAGCAGUACAUGAAGCUCUGAGGCUUCAAUGGGUGUAGAUAUAGACAUCCAAACCUAUAAUUUUACAUUAAUCAGAAUACUAUUCAUAUAAAUCACAAAUGGCAAAACCAUUUCUGAAGGUAUUUGGUUUUAUAGAUUAUAAAAUUAAACUUCCUUAUAAUUGUGUCCAAACUGAAAUAUGCUUCCUGUACAAAAAAGCUUUCUUCUAACAGUAAAGGCCUCCUCCCAACCCACCCGACACAUACACACACACACACACACACACACACACACACACACACACACGAAGAGAGAGAGAGAAUUUAGAGCACUGAUCUUUUCUCUCUUAGACUAAUUAUUUUAACAUUAUUUUCAGCCACUUUAUUAAUUGUGGGGUUAAGGGUAGGAUAGAUCUAAUGCCCAUUUCACAUGUGUUGCAACAUCAGAGAUUAUGGUUUUCAUUAAAAACAUCAGAGCUAAAUUCCUUUUCAAAAAAGACAUUGUUACUGUUAGUACCUUGGGGAAUGUUGUAGUCUUAUGAAUGCUGAUACGUUUAUUUGAGCCAAUUGAAUAUUAUCUCUAAUAUAAACUAUAAUUUACUGUGUGAUUCCUCUUCCUGUUUUACCUAUAUAUACUCAAAGUGAAUGAUUGUGUUUAGUGAACAUUUCUUUAGGUAAUAAAAAUUAAUUUCAUUUAAGAAAGAAGUACAAAAUAGUUAUUAGAGCAAACUUUGGUAUUUGUAAUUUUGAAGUUACAUACUUUUGAAAUAAACUUGGGCUUUCAUGCCAUGUUGGGUUUGAGGAAGAUAGCAAAUGUAUAAAUUGAGCUCUCUAGUCAUAACCUUGCUAUAUGUAUUCCUGCUCAUUAAAAUACUUUGCGCCAGCAAAAAUGAUUUCCAACAUAUGUGUUUUGGAUGUAAUUAAGUAACUGUAUAAAACUAAGUAUGUUUUUUCUCCUUUCCCCAGUGACUGGAAAACUUUCAUACUUUUAAGGUAAUAAUAAAAUAAUAAUCUUUAAAGAGCAACAGCCCUUAACUCUUUGCUGGUGCUUGCCAUACUGCCCUUCUUUACUCCAUUCUUAGCUCUUCUAGCUGCUUCUUGUAAUAAUGAAAUGGGAAUGUGGAUGGGUUAUGACUUUUGUGUAUGUCCCAUUUCCAAAUUUCCCUCUCCAAAAAGCCAACCAAAUAAACAAAAAUAACAGUGCAACAAAACACAAACAGCAUUCCAAACGUUUGGCAAGUGAUGCUUUCAUCUGGGAUUAAGUAGUUUUAGGCAGUCAGUAACAAAAUGCUGUUCUGCUGUCAUAGUAGAAAGGCAGCACAUUCUUAAAAGGAACCAAGAAGACUACACUCUUGGCAAAGUCUCUUAUUAGCUUUCUCCUAUCUCUUCUCCCCAACCACACUGUAAACUGCAAAACAUACAGCAAAAAGAAUUGGCUUAAAGGCAAUUGAUGUUUGUAAAUAAAUCCACAAUAGGAUCCAAGCUAAAGAGGUGAUACAUGGUCAGCCUAGUAGGACAAUUCAGAGCAUGUGCAUAUGCAAGUAAAGGCCAGACUAUAUAUUUUUUAAACGUCAGUGCAUUUUGUUGUGUUAAAAUUUUUUCAAAGCUUUAUUUUGUUCCUUGUGUGCUAACUACAAAUAAGUUUUAAAAGAGUAUCAAAAGUCUGCCAAAAACAAAAAAGCUGUAGUGACAUCGAACCAUACGAUGUAAGCAUUGAACAUGUGCAAUUUUUCAUAUCUACAGAAGAAAAUCAUCCCUCUUUACAACAUGGUUGGGCUGAUUUUUAAGAAAUAAAAGAUAAUACAUCAGAAAAGCAAAUAUUUGGCAUCUACAUAUUCAAUAUCUAGAACCAUGCAGAGUAGAAGAUUUAAAGAAAUAUGAAGAACAAAACAGUUAUUUUGUUUUAGGAGUUUACAAUCUGUAGUCAGAAACUAAUAUAAAAAUUUUGAGUAUAGAAAGAGCAAAAGCACGUCAGGUGCAGUGGCUCUCAGCUGAAAUCCUAGCAUUUUGGAAGGCCAAAGUGAGAGGAUUGCUUGAGCUCAGGAGUUCAAGACCAGCCUGGGCAACAUAGUGAGACCUUGUCUCUAUGAAAAAACUUUUAAAAAUUAUUUUAAAAAGAAAGCAAAAGCAAAUAUGAGAGAAAACAUUAGAAAUCAGAGCUUGGGCAAAGAGUUCAGUGUCAGCAAAGCAGCUCUGCCUUGGGGUAUCUCUGGAACAUCCUGGCUUUCUCUAUAGGCCCCACCACAUGGCCUUUUCCCAUCACUUGGAAGCCACCAUAUCAUGUCAGGUUUUCCCUCAAACUUUUUAACCUAAUUUAUUCUGUCAAAAAAUAUAUAUCUAUUGAAUCUUUACUGUGAGCUGGGCACUGUCCUAUGUAAUGAUAAUAUAGCAAGGAUAUAAAACAAAAAUGCUUACCGUCAUACAGAUUACAUUCAUGUGAGGCAGGACACACUAUUAACAAAAUAACUAUAUAAAAUACAUAAUAUUCCAAAAGGUGAUAACGGUACAGAGAAAAAUUAAGCAUGGAAGGGGGAUACACAACACUGGAAGUGGGUAGAAGUAAAGACAUAUCAAAUGCUCAAGGAAGGUGUAGUAGGCAGAAUAAUAGCUUUCCUACGUCUGUAUCUUUAUAUGGCGAAGAGACUUGUGGGUGUGAUUAAGUUAUGGAUCAUGAGAUGAGAAGAUUAUUCCGGAUUAGCCAGGUGAACUCAGUGUAAUCACGAGAGUGAUUAUAAGCAAAAGAAGGAGGCAAGAAAGUCAGAGGCAAGAGAUGUGGUGACAGAGGUCAGAAUAAUGUAGUUGCUGACUGGAAGGAAGCCAUGAGCCAUGGGAUGUGUGCAUUCUCUCAACGCUGGUGAAGGCAAGAAAAUGAAUUCUCCCCUAGAGGAUUAUAGGGGAGAAGCGUGUUCCUUUUAGCAACUAAAUGUAUGCUAAUUUAUUCCAGUAGUCAGGAAACUAAUAUAGAAAGUCUUUCUGAGAAGACAACAUUUGAACAAAGACUCCAAGGAGGUAAGUGCACCAGCUUUGCAGAUACCUGGGGAAGAGCACUCCAGGAAGAAAAGGCAGACAGCAGGGUACACGCCCUGAUCAGGAGCAUGUCUAGCCCAGUGGCAUGAAGUAGAGCAAGACUGGGAGUCAGAAGGGUAGGAGGAGACAGGUGAGAGAGAGAUUUAGUUGAGUCAACUCACUUACAGCUUCAUUAUCUUUAAGAACGUUGGCUUAGUCUGAAUGACACAUGGAGUAUAGAAGAGUCUGUGAAUAUUUAUAGAUAUUCUGAAUGUUUGCAAGAUAAAUAAAAGUGGUGCACUGGUAAACCUGGUUGGGGGAAGGAAAAAAAAGCCCAGAUUUGUAGCAUUUGCUGAUUUCCAUUGUGUGAAUAUUUCAACCGAUGGUUUGACAAACAUGUCACAAAAUUUCUGAGUAUUUAAUUUUCACCUCCAUUAGAGCACUGCACAUAUGACAUUCCAUUUGUCAAUUCCAUCCUGUAUUCCAUUUGGGCCAAGAAGUAUCGGAGUCAACUAGUGACAAAAAUAAGAAAGUCCUCAAUAAAAACCAGUGUCUACAUUUGACUGAUGUAAGGAUCUGAAAUUCAUUUUUCUUUAUCUGCUUUGCCUGGUGAUUAAAUUAUGAUUUUAGAAGAAACAUUUUUAAUUCCUUAUCAGAGUGUUACUACUGAAUAAAUACAAGACAUAGUUUAACUAUAUGUAAUCUUGUCUAUAUAUAUUUUCAACAGAAACAUUAUAGAUGCCAGAUUCACAAAAGAAGAUAUAUGAUAGAAGCUGGAAUUGUUUGAAUAAAAAGAGUCAAAUUUUACAUUGGAUUAACCAGAGGGAAGAAAGUAGAUGGAUAGGAAAGGAGAAGGCAGGCUUAGCCAAGCCAAAGAAAGAGACUAGACUCAGGAGGCACUGGGAGAAAAAGGAACUCUGUCAAAGAAGAGUACCAUUAUAGUUUGAAGAGAGCUGAGAGGCUGUUAAGUCCCCCAUGUCGUUCCUAAUCCAAAAACACCCGAUCCUAAACACUAUAAUCCUGAAUGUUGAAAUCCUGAAACAUCAAAAUCCCUAAGUCUAAAAUCCUUAUCUAACAUCCAGAAGAUCACUAUCACAGGACAGUUGCACCAUGGUAUUGCAUCAUGUUAAAUGUAAUUAUUUCCUUGUUUACUCUUUAUUCGGAAAUUAAGCAUGGCUAAGAAGGUAUGUAGAGGUGCCAAGUCAACAAGGGGUGGACCCAUGGACUUAAUUUUAGGUGUCAACUUGGCUGGGUUAAGGAAUGUCUGGAAACUUGGUAAAGCAUUAUUUUGGGUAUGCCUCGAGGGUGUUCUCAGAAAAGAUUAAUGUGUAGGUCUGAGUGGACUAGGUGGGAAAGAUCUGUCAAUGUCUGGAAUAUAGAAAAAGUGAAAAUGAAGGUAAAAAAUGCACAGAAUCUUUCCUGCCGAAUUAUUAUUGAUGUACAACUUCUGACACUUGCCUUCACAAAAUGCCCUUUGUCAGAGAAUAAAAAGAGUUCAACAAGCUUGGCGGCCUUCUGAACCAGGUACUUGCUGGCACAGAGGUUCCUUCAGGGCUACAAGACACAUUAAGUCAUGAACUAUUCUUGAUUAAAGAUUUGACUGUGAAAGAAGAUAGACAUAUUUAUUUACCACUAAAUCUAACAUUAAAAAAAAUGCAUGUUUUACUUUGGCUAAUGAAUGUCACUUUCAAAACCAUCCCUAGUGUUUCUUUGUUUGUUUUUACCAACUUUAUACAAUUUAUGCGUCUAUCAGAUUCCAAAAUUCUAUAAUGUAAUAUACUGUUUAUGUAUUACUGGCUGGAAAAAGUGAGGCAUUUUAUAAAUGUUUAUUUGAAGAUUUGGUGGACUUUGCAGAAGAAAAUAGAUUUCAAUUGCAUCCCCAAGUUAAAAUGACAGGUUUGGAACUAGGUGUGACAAAGGCUUCUGAAAGUGAAUUGCAAGGUGUUACCAGUAAAGUUUGCUUUUCCAUUUAGUCCAAUUCAUUUGGUGGAAAAUUCAGGUGAGUUUAGUGGCCAAGCCCAUAUGGCAGUGAUGAAAAUUUUAGUUUAAAAAUGCAUCGUUUAUCCAUAGUGGCAUUUCUUCUACCCGAUAAAAUUCCAGGAGCUUUUAACAAAUUAAACCACAUUUUCCUAAAGAAGCCAGCAAGGUUACUUACUGGUUUAAAAAUAAUUAUGUGCAAGGUAAGAUAAGAAGUCAUUUAGGGCCAGGCAUGGUGGCUUAUGCCUGUAAUCACAGGAUUUUGGGAGGCAAAGGUGGGUGAAUCACUUGAAGUCAGGAGUUCAAGACCAGCCUGGCCAACAUGGCGAUACCUUGUCUCUACUAAAAAUACAAAAAUUAUCCGAGUGUGGUGGCACACACCUGUAAUCUCAGCUACUCGGAAGGCUGAGGCAGGAGGAUCCCUUGAACCCAAGAGGGGGAGGUUGCAGUGAGCCGAGGUCAUGCCACUGCACUCCAGCCUGGGCAACAGAGUGAGACUCUGUCUUAUUAAAAAAAAAGAAAAGUCAUUUAGGCAAUGGUGUUGCUGUCCAAUCAACAGUAUUGUUUCUGCCAAAUUUGUGGCCUGUAGAUUAGUGCAUGCAAAGUAGAUACUCAAAACAAUAUAGAAGCAUGGCGUAGAAGAUUGAAAAACAUAAUAGGAAGUGUUCAUCUCAGUGUAUAUUGAAUUACAGAAGAAUUUCAGAGUGAGCAGUGCGACAUAGAAAAUGAAUGUGAACAUAUUCUCUGAGAUGUGAACAUAUUCUCUGAGGAAAGUCAUGUCCUUAAAGGCAGCUAUUUAUUGUGAUGCAAGACUUCAAAAUACAGUUAAUAAUCAUAAAAGUCAACUAGCUAUUAUGAACUCUGCGUAGUUGCCCAUAAUCUAUCCCUGUAAUGUAUUUUUAUAUGUCAGUUUUCUUUUUAGUUUUAUUUUUAAGUUUUUUUCCACUAUUUUAAAUUGUCAGCAUUAUUUAUUUACAACUCACUAUGCUGUGUAUUUCUUCUUAGCAUCAUUUCCAGUACUGAAGGUAUAAACUGUGUAAAGAGUUUUAGAGAGUUCUAAUUUGCUUUAUGCAUUUUUUUUGCAACUUUGACUCCACAAAAGUGCAUUAUCACAUUGACUUUAUGUGUAAGCGUUGUUUGUAAACCUAAAAAUAUUAAAACUUUCUCAAUAGAUGAGAUAUUCUUUUUGCAUAUCUGCAUUUGUGAAAGAGAAAAUUUCUGAGAAUCUCUUUGACUUUGACUGCAUAUUCGGUGAUGAUCUGUGACAGCUUUUGAUCAAUCUGGUCUAAAGACCUAGGUAGUCUGUCACAGUAUUUCAGAUGACCUGUUAUAACACUGGAUGCACACAACUACUAACCAUGCAUUUAUGCAUUUUGCUUAUUGACCUAUUUUUUAUAUGAUUCAUCUGCUCAUAAAUGUUAUACCCAUGUGACUCUGAUUAAUAUACCUGUUUAUGCUUGCAAACAUAUGUAUGAUGUUGUUGCCUAUUUUAUUUUGUAAGGUGACCUAGGAAGUAUUCUGUUGUGUUUUUUAUGUUUCUCAAAUAAAUCCCCUCCUAAAAAUGUCAAUAAAUGCCUUUUAAAUCAUUUUUUCCAGAUUUAUAGUUUUAGAAUUUUGGGGUUUGGGGGAUUGUAAUUUUAGGAUUUUAGACUGUAGAGAUGUAUAUCUUUUUGGAGUUCAACAUUUGGGAUAAUGGCAUUCAGGAUUGUGUCUUUCUGGAUUAUGGCCCAGACCUGUUUAUUUCAACACUCUAUUUUACACAAGAGGAAAGCAAACCAUGUAUCCAGUUGCAAUGAAAGCUUACAUAGACAUCAUGUAUAGAUUAUAUCCUAGGAAAACAUGAUUAAGAUGACACAUAGUGACUUUUCUUUUUCAGUGAAAGAGAUCCACAUCCUUUUUCUUGUGUGGAACUAAACAUGAUUUCUGAGUUAAUGUAGUUUAAUGCAAAUCACCAUGAUCACUUAACCCAUGCUUCUUUAUUAAAGGAGGUAGAAGGGAUGUGAUUUGAUGGGAGGAUGGCCCGGGAUCCAGGACCUGGGAAAGAUGCAAUGAGUAAAGGGGAGCAACAGAAAAGUAGGGAAUAAAGUAAGCGUGAAGAGUCAUCAACUUCCCUCACUGCUCCUGGCCUCUGGCAUUGGAAGCCCAGAGGUCUUUUCUAGGGCCUCAGAGAAGCUUCCAGGUCUGUUCAUUUCUUUUUCCCCACCCCUGCUUGUAUCACAAAUAAAUUACUGACACCUAAAUUUCUGACUAGGUGGUAGAAUUUUAGGGAUCCUUCACCUCAUCAGAAUUCCAUGUAAGUUGUGGGAGUCAUAUGGGUUAAGUAAGCAAUAGUCCUUGAGAUUAUUUGAUCAUAUAAAUCAUCAGAAAAUGUUUAGUCAUCUUGAUUUUAUCAUAAUGUGUAGCUAGGGGAGGCUGGAGGGAGAGGACUGGAGUGAGAAGAGACAGCAAAAGAGGUGGCUUUUAUGCAUGGGGCUCUAUGAAGUAAUCAGGCCUAAGUGGAACCGAGAGGGACCUUGGAGCAGUUCUGGAGAGGAAAGCUUGGGGCACAAGUCGUCUGUUGAUGGUGAGGCUUAGGCCCUGGCUCCAACCAAUCACAUCAUCUUUCUGACUGGGAUGCCUAAGCAGUGUGUUUUUUGUUUGUUUUAGUGUUUGUUUUUUGGUAAAGCAUACAGUGGCAUUAACUAAAUUCACAGUGUUGUGCACUCAUCACCACCAUCCAUUUCCAGAACUUUUCCAUCAUGCCAAACAGAAACUCUGUGCCCAUGAAACAGCUGUUAUUUGCAUUAGAAUCUGUUCUAAAUAUUUUGUGUAAGUUCUCACUUAGGCAUCACAAUGAUGUCCUGUGAGAUAGCUACUAUAUUUAUCUCCACUUUAUCGAUGAGAAAAUUGAGGCACAGGAAGCCUAUGUAACUUUGCUUGUAAGUGAAAGGCCUUAAAGUAGAAUUCAAGCCCAAGUUGAACUGAACCCAAAGGCCAAGCUUUUUUCUAUUCAAACAGGCCACUCUUUUAUUAUUGUAGUGAGUAAUAAGAGCUAAAAAAUAUUAUGUUUUUUUCAGGAGAAAAUUAUUUGUUUUGAAGGUAGAGGAAGAGCAUGCUAUUUAAUGUUUACUAUUACAUGAAUUACUCUAUGUUUUGAGAUGGUGUACUGAAACUUUCUAAAAAUUUAUCUCAAUCUCAUAGAAUGGAUCUACAUUUGUCCUGUGUCAAUGGCUAUCCAGAAGCGGUAACUUUGCUGGUGCACAGAAAGUGCCAGCUUAACGUGUGUGACGGUGAAAACACGACACCUCUGAUGAAGAUAUAUAGUAGCCAGUUAUUUCAGCAUGAGAUGGAUUUGGUUUAAAUACAUAGAAUAAAAAUGGAUUUAUUUCAUUGAAAUGUAACUAAUUUGUGAACCUAUGGAAUAUUUAUUUGUAUUUUCUAGAAUUUACAAUGUGUUUCUUGGUCUAAUACUGACAGGCUAUACAAUGCCAAGAAGAUGUUUAUGCAACUAUUCUGCUGGACUUUGGUGCCUAUCCAGAUAUUACAGAUAUCAACAGAAAAACUGCUCUCCACUGUGCUGUCUAUAGUGAGAAUAUGUCAGUGGUGGCAAAACUGCUUUCACACAACACAAACAUCUAAGUGAAAAAUGGAGUAGAGAAUAACCAACAUUAUUUUCAAAAUAUUUGAAAUCCAUUUGCUUUAACACUGACAUGCGUUAGGGUCAGUUUUUCAUAUUUGGAAGCUCAAGCAUGCUCUUCUGUGAAUGAAAAUAUUCUGAAGUAACUGUCUAAUAAUUUAAAUAUUAAUGUUUUUAAAGAAGUAUUAGACGGUAUAGCUUUCUUUCAUGCAUUUAUGAUAAAUAUUUAAAUUUAUUAAAGGUAAAAGUUUGUUUUUCAAAUAUUUUAGCCACUCAAGUUUUUGUUCUUUCUAAUUAGUGUAAAACAACACAGAAAAGCAAAAUGUGCCUGCAUAAACUGAGUCAACAUGUAAACCUUUUGAUAUUUAUUAUUAAAUAAGUUAUUUGGCAAUGUAUCAAAUUUUUAAAUGUGUGUCCCUUUUGACCUAGAAAUUCUACUCCCAGGAAUUUCUCCUAAGAAGAUAAUCAGAAAAGUUUACAAAGAUGAAUAGAAAAGAAGAGUCACUGCAGCCUUAUUUGUAAAAGUGAAAAAUAGCAACAGCCCAAAUGUCAUGAAUGGAGAAUUAAUAUAUGGUGCAUCCAUACAAAAAUACUGUGCAGCGAGUAAGCCAAUGAAGCCCAAAAUUUCUGACAUGGACAUUGACAUAGCAGAGUGACAAUAACGAGGUUAUAAAACAUCAUCAGUGAAAGGUCUAUUUGUACAAAUUAAUUUUUUGAGUGUAUACUUAGGGUAUAUAAAAUGUAUUUGGUUAAUGUCAAAAUAAUUAUCUUUGCUUAAGUAAAAUUUGGGGGCAAUUUAAAUUUUUUAAUAUAUUUUCUUAUAUUGACCA
rnacentral:lncRNA from 1 species